rnacentral:rRNA from 1 species
UAGGGAAUCUUCCGCAAUGGGCGAAAGCCUGACGGAGCAACGCCGCGUGAGUGAUGAAGGUCUUCGGAUCGUAAAACUCUGUUACUAGGGAAGAACAAAUGUGUAAGUAACUAUGCACGUCUUGACGGUACCUAAUCAGAAAGCCACGGCUAACUACGUGCCAGCAGCCGCGGUAAUACGUAGGUGGCAAGCGUUAUCCGGAAUUAUUGGGCGUAAAGCGCGCGUAGGCGGUUUUUUAAGUCUGAUGUGAAAGCCCACGGCUCAACCGUGGAGGGGCAUUGGAGACUGGAAAGCUUGAGUGCAGAAGAGGAAAGUGGAAUUCCAUGUGUAGCGGUGAAAUGCGCAGAGAUAUGGAGGAACACCAGUGGCGAAGGCGACUUUCUGGUCUGUAACUGACGCUGAUGUGCGAAAGCGUGGGGAUCAAACAGG